CGAGGCUCCGCCAGCCGCGGGUCCGCGCCUUCCCAAGAACACUGAUUCCACCUCCACAUCGCCUCAUGGGCAUGUCAUGGCUGUGCAGUUUCAGCAGUCUCAUCUGAAGGGGGGAAGAAGAGAGGAGGGCCCCGCAAAGAGCCAGGGCAGGAAAUUUGGACACGUGGAGAGACACGAGACAUGCACUCGCACAGAAGAGGGGCCAUGUGAGGACACAGCAAGAAAGGGGUCACCUGCAAACCAAGGAGAGAGGCCUCCAAAAGAACUAAGCCU